rnacentral:rRNA from 1 species
ACUCCCAAACCCUUAUGUGAACCUACCUAUCGUUGCUUCGGCGGACUCGCCCCAGCCGGACGCGGACUGGACCAGCGGCCGCCGGGGACCAUCAAACUCUUGUAUUAUCAGCAUCUUCUGAAUACGCCGCAAGGCAAAACAAAUAAAUUAAAACUUUCAACAACGGAUCUCUUGGCUCUGGCAUCGAUGAAGAACGCAGCGAAAUGCGAUAAGUAAUGUGAAUUGCAGAAUCCAGUGAAUCAUCGAAUCUUUGAACGCACAUUGCGCCCGCCAGCAUUCUGGCGGGCAUGCCUGUUCGAGCGUCAUUUCAACCCUCGACCUCCCUUUGGGGAAGUCGGCGUUGGGGACCGGCAGCACACCGCCGGCCCUGAAAUGGAGUGGCGGCCCGUCCGCGGCGACCUCUGCGUAGUAAACCAACUCGCACCGGAACCCCGACGUGGCCACGCCGUAAAACACCCAACUUCUGAACGUUGACCUCGAAUCAGGUAGGACUACCCGCUGAACUUAAGCAUAUCAAUA